rnacentral:misc_RNA from 1 species
UUUUUGCGUUAGGGAUAGUAGUGAAAAUCCCGCAGCAAGUUGUAACGUGAGUGCAAACUUGUGAGGAAUUGUAACGCAUAGCCCGACCUAAA